AGUGAACGCUGGCGGUAGGCCUAACACAUGCAAGUCGAACGGCAGCACAGUAAGAGCUUGCUCUUACGGGUGGCGAGUGGCGGACGGGUGAGGAAUACAUCGGAAUCUACUUUUUCGUGGGGGAUAACGUAGGGAAACUUACGCUAAUACCGCAUACGACCUACGGGUGAAAUCAGGGGAUCUUCGGACCUUUCGCGAUUGAAUGAGCCGAUGUCGGAUUAGCUAGUUGGCGGGGUAAAGGCCCACCAAGGCGACGAUCCGUAGCUGGUCUGAGAGGAUGAUCAGCCACACUGGAACUGAGACACGGUCCAGACUCCUACGGGAGGCAGCAGUGGGGAAUAUUGGACAAUGGGCGAAAGCCUGAUCCAGCCAUACCGCGUGGGUGAAGAAGGCCUUCGGGUUGUAAAGCCCUUUUGUUGGGAAAGAAAAGCAGCAGGUUAAUACCCCGCUGUUCUGACGGUACCCAAAGAAUAAGCACCGGCUAACUUCGUG
rnacentral:rRNA from 1 species